UACGUAGGGGGCAAGCGUUGUCCGGAUUUAUUGGGCGUAAAGAGCGUGUAGGCGGUUUGGUAGGUCCGCUGUGAAAACUCGAGGCUCAACCUCGAGACGCCGGUGGAAACCAUCAGACUAGAGUCCGGAAGAGGAGAGUGGAAUUCCUGGUGUAGCGGUGAAAUGCGCAGAUAUCAGGAAGAGCACCCGUGGCUAAGGCGGCUCUCUAGUACGGUACUGACGCUGAGACGCGAAAGCGUGGGGAGCGAACAGG
rnacentral:rRNA from 1 species